rnacentral:tRNA from 1 species
GCCCUGGUGGUACAGUGGUUAAGGGCUCAGCUGCUAACUGAAAAGUUGGUGGUUCGAACCCACCCAGGGGCU